UCGUAGUAGACCCCAGAUCCAAAAAGAGUAUUUUACAAAAUGCGAGUGUAUGUUUUCGAAACUUCAAGUCGUCGCUAACUACAUAGCAUGUAUUACCAUAUAAGAAAGAUUUGGAGAAACUAAAAGACCCACCAACAGAAUACUCUUUCAUCGAUCGUGAGCAUUGGAACAUAUUUGUCGCUUCCAGAUUAACCGAACAAUUUGAGAUGGUUAGCAACAAGGGACGUGAGCGGAGAAAGAACAACAAGUACAACCAUCGAAUGUCGCGAAAAGGUUAUGCAAACCUUACCGAAGAGAUGAAAGCAAGCACAUCUAAUGGUGAGUUAAUUGAUCGUGCUUUAGUAUGGAAGAAAGCACGAACUACUAAAGAUGGAGAGAUUCCAGACAUAGACACAAAGGAGGUGGC